CAGGAUGUUGGCUUAGAAGCAGCCAUCAUUUAAAGAAAGCGUAAUAGCUCACUGAUCGAGUCGUCCUGCGCGGAAGAUGUAACGGGGCUAAGCCAGUUACCGAAGCUGCGGAUUUGCACGCAAGUGCAAGUGGUAGGAGAGCGUUCUGUACGCCUGUGAAGGUGGAUCGUGAGGUCUGCUGGAGGUAUCAGAAGUGCGAAUGCUGACAUGAGUAGCGUUAAAGGGGGUGAAAAGCCCCCUCGCCGAAAGCGCAAGGUUUCCUACGCAACGUUCAUCGGCGUAGGGUGAGUCGGCCCCUAAGGCGAGGCAGAGAUGCGUAGCUGAUGGGAAACAGGUCAAUAUUCCUGUACCGAUGUGUAGUGCGAUGUGGGGACGGAGAAGGUUAACUCGGCCGGGUGUUGGAUGUCCCGGUUCAAGCGUGUAGGUUGGUUCUUUAGGCAAAUCCGGAGAGCUAAGACUGAGACGUGAUAACGAGCGUACUUGUACGUGAAGUGAUUGAUACCAUGCUUCCAAGAAAAGCCACUAAGCUUCAGUUGUAUAGAGACCGUACCGCAAACCGACACAGGUGGGCAGGAUGAGAAUUCUAAGGCGCUUGAGAGAACCCGGGAGAAGGAACUCGGCAAAUUAGCACCGUAACUUCGGGAGAAGGUGCGCCCCGGUAACGUGUAUAGACUUGCUCUAGAAGCGUGAUGGGGUUGCAGUGAAAAGGUGGCUGCGACUGUUUAAUAAAAACACAGCACUCUGCAAACACGAAAGUGGACGUAUAGGGUGUGACGCCUGCCCGGUGCUGGAAGAUUAAAUGAUGGGGUGCAAGCUCUUGACUGAAGUCCCAGUAAACGGCGGCCGUAACAAUAACGGUCCUAAGGUAGCGAAAUUCCUUGUCGGGUAAGUUCCGACCCGCACGAAUGGCGUAACGAUGGCCACACUGUCUCCUCCAGAGACUCAGCGAAGUUGAAAUGUUUGUGAUGAUGCAAUCUCCCCGCGGAAAGACGGAAAGACCCCAUGAACCUUUACUGUAGCUUUACAUUGGACUUUGAACAGAUCUGUGUAGGAUAGGUGGGAGGCUUUGAAGCGGUGCCGCUAGGUGUCGUGGAGCCAACGUUGAAAUACCACCCUGGUGUGUUUGAGGUUCUAACCUAGGUCCAUUAUCUGGAUCGGGGACAGUGCAUGGUAGGCAGUUUGACUGGGGCGGUCUCCUCCCAAAGCGUAACGGAGGAGUUCGAAGGUACGCUAGUUACGGUCGGACAUCGUGACGAUAGUGCAAUGGCAUAAGCGUGCUUAACUGCGAGACUGACAAGUCGAGCAGGUACGAAAGUAGGACAA
rnacentral:rRNA from 1 species